GUUAACCAGUUUGUUCUGGGGAUUCCUGUUUCUGUCUUCCUUCCUCCUGCAAUUACAGGAAGGCUGCUACACCCAUGCAGCUUCUGUGUGGCCGCUAGUGAUCUGACUGCCAGUCCCCAUGCUUGCCUGGUGAGCACACUUCCACUUUGAGAACUUGGAAGCUGAGUUUGUGAAGUGUACACAAGCAUGCCUGCCAAGAUGCCAGACCUCAGCACAGUGGUGAGCAGCAUGUGGGCAGUUAAAACCACUGAAAGGUUCUGAUGCCCAUGAAGGAAUGGUCUUGCAAAGCAAAAAGCAAGCAGACAAAGAGCAAAAGUGUUCUUCAUCCAUGGCCUUUUUGCAGACUUCCACCAGGUCAUGUUUAAACUAUGGCCCAGAUUAAAUGUGUAUCUUCCCACUUCAAAAGAUCUGGAUUAAAGUUUUAGCUUCCUAUCUCAGAA